ACGCGCUUCCUGUCCUCCCGGCGGGGGUCUGCGCUGGAGUCCGCAGCGGCGGCGGCUGCGGAGCCGGCGGGAGCGGGGGGAAAGAGGGGAGGAAGGAAGGCAGGGAGGAAGGAGACGAGCGGCGGCGGGGCGAGGCGAGGCGAUGCUGCAGUAACGCCCUUGUCGAGCUGGUUACUGAAAGCAUCCUGCGUGGUCAAACAGUACACUGAGACAGCCUUAUUUUUUUAUGAAAUGAAGUUUAAUUUUGAGGUAAGGUUCUGUUUACUUUUACCUUUUUUUAUGCAGUAUGACAGAAAAUAAUUACAGAAAUUAAAAACCUUUAUCUGCUGUCUGUAUAUAUUGGUAACGUAUGAAAUAUAUACAGCUGUGGAUGUAUUUGUGAAGAGAAAUCAAGGUGAAAAUCAAAUGUGAUGCAUGAAUAUUGAAGCUCCAAGUAAACAUUGUGAAUAACAGCCAGGAGGCUAACCUGACCAUUACAUCUUCUGACUAUUUUUAAACAGUUUCCAGGGAGACUGGAGGAUAAUACAAAAUAAAUGAGUUCUCUAAGCCUCAGAAAGAAGGGCUGUGCCUUUCGCUGGUAUGAGAACAAAUAGCUGAGAUGAUGACUUGGUUUCAUUUUAAUAUAUGUAAGAGAGGUAACAGGAAAAAAGAAAAAGAAAAAUCAUUUCUAGACUAAACAGAUACAUUAUUUCUAGACUACAAUGCUAUGGGAAGCGAAGGCUGAAGUGGUAACCCUCACUUCAGACAAAAUGUUGUUACGUCAUAUUCUAGUUUCUUGAUUUGUUGGAGUAAUUUCGACCUUGUGCACAUCAUUGUUCUAAAUGUGUCCUUGGCUCUGACAUCUCAUUUGGAAAUGGUGCUUGCAAUGUUGAAACUUUGCUAAUGGAAUUUUGUCCUGCUCUUCUCCUUAUUUGAAAAAUAUCUACACUGAACUUUUAAAAUGGCCUGUAAAUAAAGCAGCAUUUCAGUUUAUUACCAGCUAUGUCUAAGGACAAGGUUAAAUGAAGUAAAAUCAUUGAAGAGUAAAUAGUUGCUUAAGCUACUUAUUUCAUUUUGUUUGUAACCCUUAAGAGAAGGCUAGUAACUCUGCUUUGUUCUUGAUAAUUUUUAGUUGGAGUCAAGUAUUUCUGGGGAAUUCUUAUUGUUCUUUUUGGCAGUCUUUAUUCUGUAACUAGUGUGUGUUUAUGAAUUAUCACUGCAUUAGGUCCUCUUUUGUAAUGCCAGUGCUUUCCUCACGUCAGUGAUACUGUUAUUAAGUCCCUGUUGUCAAAUGUUUAAUGAAAUAGCGUGGCUAAAAAUGUUAAUUAGCUUUUGAUUUAAGAAAUUAUUUUUUUUAAAGUAUCUCUUACAUUACUCAGGCUAAUUAUGUCAGGGUGUGUAACUGACUGAACUGACUGCUCAAUGUUGCAUAGGUGAGUGAGUGGUAGGAGAACUAACUGCACUUGAAUUCAGAGACCUCUUCACAUAGGAUCUUGCUUCCUUGAUGGCUGUUAGUCCUGAUUUAGUAUGUGAAAUUAAUUUAAGAAUUCUUUGAAAUUCACCUCAUUGAGUGAAGUAGUCAGACCAUGUCAAGUUUUAGCAGCUUCCAUUGUCAACAUUUAUCUCUUAUCCUUUCAUGCAUAACAAUUCUUCAAAGGUGUUUGAAUACUUACAAAGGUAUUAGAGCUGAUAUAUACAAGGAUGGUAUCUUGUUGGAGUAACACGUGGUCUUAUAAAAUCCAAAAAUCUACCAGAUUGCAGUUAGCUAGCAUACAGGAAUCGUUACAAACACUUCAAAAAUGUUGAUUUCGUAAGUGCAAGCAUGCUGCCAUUGCUCACCUUUUCUGUUUUCAUUCAUGUUAUUGUUUCUGGUAGUAACUGAGCCUUCUGCUCUCUAUAGCUUAUAGGUCUUGAUUCUUUACUGUUGCUCUUCCGAGUCUCCAUAUAUUUCUUGGAAUUUUCUUUUUUUAGUCAUUCCCUGGUUUUUGCUUUUUGUUGAAAGAGUUGUGUUUUUUCAUGUUUUUUUUUUCCCCUAAAUGUAAAUUGUUUUGUAAUCAAAAUAGAGGGAAGACUGAUGUUUCAGCCAGAAACUUGGUGUUGAAAAAAAAAUUAUUACAGCUAGCUUUUAGCCUCUGUAGUAGCCUGAAAUUGUAAACUAUAAAGACAGUGUUUUUCUCUCCUUUCCUCCUACGCUCUAUUCAUUUGCUAGUGUCAGGAAGUGAAAGAGUAUGCACUGAGCUCAUUCAGACUUGCUAUAGUACUAUCUGAAAUUCCUUUGGUAUUCUAGAUACUGCAAACUACGGUUGGUAAGUGCAUUCACAGUCAAUUCGAGGUAGGUGAUGGAGUUUGUAAGACUGGGAAAAUCUUCUGGUGACUUCUAAAAUUUGUUAGGAGAAGAUUACGUGAUCUACUGUAGUUCAGUUUGCUAUGUUUUAUGAAUGCAUGAUUUGACUCAUAGAUGGUGUGUCAACUGUUGUGUCUACUUAUCAAGAUGAAAUGUUAGUAUCACCAUUCUACAUGACUACUUUUGUAGGGGAGGGUGUAUGUUGGAUUAUUACUGCUGUCUUCACAAUAUUUUGUUGUGGUUUUUUAACUGAUCUUCUGUAAACUUUGUCUCUAUGACAUGAACAUUAUUAAAAAUGAUAAUUUAUACAGAAAUGGUGGUAAUUGUGUACUGAUUCAUGUUGUGAUUGCUCAUGAGGAAAAAAUGCCUGAGUACUAUUACAGGAAAUGGAAUCAAGAACAUUUCAAAGGUAGAAACAUGAAUUAUUAAUAAGUUUGGUUCAGGUAGCAAUUGGCUUAAUUUUGAAAUUUCCAAUAAAUAUUGUAAGGUAGAAAAAUGUAUUUUAAAGACCCAUUUGAUGAAAUUAGCAGCAGAAGUGUCAUACGUUGGGCUGUCUUCCUUCAAGUUCUUCUGAGUUCUUACUUAAUUAUGUGGAAUACUAAUUACUUAGCACUUAAUUCAUCCAAAUACCAUUCUAUGUGUUUACUGUUGUUUUUCUCUGCCUUGCUUCCUGUUCUAGUGAUCUAUUUAGAAUGUAUUAACUGACUGCUGGGAUAAAUUGAUCAAAAUUUACUGAAAGCAACAUCAGUGCCUCUUAAGUACAGCAUUUCAGGUCAGCGAGAACAGAGAACUAUUCCAUAUACAGCCCGUCACAGGAUUCAGUUUUUAUUUGCUGUGUAGCACAGCUGUUUCUGAGAGCAAAUUGUGCCUUCAUUCUAGUUGAAAAAGAAUGAAGAAAUGUGGAAUAAUAAUUAAACCACAUUAGCUGAAUCCAGCAGGUCACGUUUUAGCUGUGUCACUUAAUGACUGCAUUAACAACUCUGACAAGUUGGUUUAUCACAUUCUACAUUGGGAAAGUCCUCAAGAAGUUGCAGACAUAGCCGGAACUUUGACUUUGAAUAGAUGCAAUAAAACAAAGCAUUGAAGUGAGUAUCUUCAAAACCACAACCAGAUAUAAAGGCUUAAAAACUGUUCUUCAAAAUUUCAUAGCAUUUCAUCACUUGAAAAUGGAAUGAAUACGCAGAAUUCUGCAGCCUGGAUUUAGCAGCCCACUUGGUAGUUCAAUGUAUUACCAUUGUCAGUGUGAUUUAGAAUAUGUGGAUGAAAUGCUUGAAACAAUUAAAUCUGCUCCUGUGGAAAAUCAGUUUUGUAUUGCUUUAAUUCCUUCCAUAGAGAAAGAAUAUUCCUUCCAUAGAGAAAGAAAUAAUCAUUAUCUUAAUUUAUUCUAUCCUUUUAAAUUCACUUACAUGCUUUUAAAUUCCCAGAAAUAUAUUUGAAAUUAAGUAUGUGUCUGACUUCAAAUAAGUUGUAGCUCUUGUUAUGAAUCUAGAUUAAUGCCUCAAGCAGACUGUUGUUUGGUUUUUUCCCCCACUUUAAAAAUAAGUGCAUACAUCUGUAUCUCAGUACUGUGUAAGUUAUACUCAUGGCAUCUGUGAAUAUCUUCAUUGCUGUCCUACCGGGCGAGGCUUAGAAGGUCUCAUGCCUAAAGGGGCAGCACUGCAUUUAGAGAGGAACCUAGCUAAGGAUGGUACUUCACCUCUUCUGACUUGUACAAAACUCAUACUCUCUCCUAUUUCAGCUUUCUUCUGUGCUACUCUUGCCAAAUAGGAAUGAAAGCCUGGAGGGCCUUUUUGAAGAGUUUAGUUGUCGACUGCUAUGUCAGAGGCUUCUAACUCAUGGGAGUAAUGACUUCCACCUUAGAGCUUGUUUCAUUCAAACUCUUACCUUCUGUUAUUCAAAAGCUAUUUUGGAUGGUUCACAACAAUGGUACUUCUCUCGUGAUACCUUGUAAUUUACAUUUUACUUUGAAGGUUCAUUAAUGUAAGUUUGCAAAUUUGUCUUUUGACUUGAAAAGCAAACUGUAGUUGAAUUGGUAAUAGAAUGACUGUCCUAUGAAUAACACUUAGAUUCAAGUAUUUUGGUCUCUUACAUAAUUUUGCUUGAAGGGACUUUCUUGUACUGAGCAAACAAGAUUAUGCUCCUGUAGGACUGCAUGAACUGAAAAAGGCACGAUUAGUGCCUGCUAAUAAUUAAAGGCUACUUUUACAGUAGCAUCCUAAGCUUGCCUGUGUUCACCUUUAGCUUACUGUUUUUCAAGUUACCUGUUUUUAAGACUUAGUAUUGCACACUGCACGUAAGCGUUGUGAAUUUGCUGAGAUUCUUGAAGGAUUUAAAUGCAAGCUUGCUUAUCAGAACAUGUGGUGUGUGUGUGUAGGCCUUGUGGUUAAGUGGCUCUUUUCUUAAGGGAGCGAUGCAUGAGAGGUCUUGCAUUUAAUUGUUCAUGUACAUUUUACAAGCACAGAAUAAAGGAUGUUCUGUGGAAUAGCAUUAAGUGACUUUUAUGUUAAGUGAUGGAAGGAAGACUUAUAGUUAUUUUGUUUGCUUACUUAAAGACUUCUGAGUAGCCACCCCAGACAGCGCGCCGUGCCUGAGACUUUGUCUACUUUUGAUCACUUCUAAAGCUGAUACCUUUGUACUCAUAGAACAAAAGUUAAUGUUUACUGUUGUUCCUCUCAUCUUUAGACUAAUUUGGAGAGAACCGGGCCUUUUUGUCAUUUCUGGCUGCCUGAAUAGUGUGUACUGCUCCCUUCUAAAUUCACCAGUGAAACACUAAUUGGACUUUGAGUUCAGCAUACACACGUAAGUUAUUUGGAUGUAAGCAAUAACUCUUCCUGAAGCACCUCUCUACGAUGUUCUCAGGGGAACAGCAAGGCACAACCACAAUAUAUCAGUCGGUGCUAUACAAUUAUCUGCAGAAAAUCUGCCUAGUGUACUAAGAAAAUUAAUAGCACCUUUGAGAGCAGUUUGGUGAAGUGUGACCUUUUGCAGGAUAAGUACAAAAGAUGACAACAGUAGCAUUGACCAAACUGGUUUAAGUACCAUUGAGUUUGUAGUGAAGUAUGUUUUGUUAAUCUUAAUGCCUGCACAACCAUCUGCCUGCCCUGUUGUCCCAUCAUUGAUUGUGAAGGAUGGCACUUUGAUUUAUGUUUAUAAUUUUGGAAAUAAGAUGUGCAGUUAAUGUUACAACAAGGUUUGUGGUUUUGAGUACUUUUUAAGAUUUUAACAGGUACCAGCCCACUGAAGGAAUGUUCAGUGUACUGCAGUAGAAUUAGAUGUUCAGCUGUCAUGAACAGUUGAAAAGGUAACAUGUCCUGUUUUUCUGGUGUCUCAUGCCAGCCGGGCAGUGAUGGGGGUACUAAGAUGAAUGGAGAACUUCUGACCCACUCGGUUUUCUUAGGAAGUUACUCUAGUAUAAAAAUGCAUAGCUUUCCCUUUAGUAAUAUGUAUAAAUGUAGGCUUUUAGAUUGUGAGUCUCAUGACCUAGAUAUGUGUUUGCUCAAGCUUAAAUGAACGAGUUAAGGAACAUCUACAGGAAGACAGAUCUCUGCAAAAUCAUAGCAGAGCUUUGUUUUUCACCAACAGUGGCAACUUUGCUGAUGGGUGUAGUUCAUAUUUGACAUGUCAGCGUUAGUUGUUCCACAUUUGCCUAUUGAAGAAAUGCAGCUAUUUUGACUUGCACUUUACUUAAAACAUUCCAUUAAAAAGGGUGGAAAAUAGAAGGCAAAGGAGUGUUCAUAUCAUCAUAACAUUAACCAGUGAUAGUAUUAAACUAAGAAAGUAAGAAAAUAAAUGAUCUAUAUUCUCUGUUUGCUUAGCAGUGUAGCUCAAAAUAUAUAUAUUUCCUCAGCUGCCAUACACCCCAGACACUUGGGUAGGGAUGGUACAAAUGAAGCAAGGCAGUCAUGUGGAUGAUCAGGGAGGUCAGUGUUGGCUAAGUGGUUACCCCUGUAAAUCUCAUUUCUUGUAAAUCUCUCAUGUAUCUCGUAAGCCAUCAUACUACUUCUGUUUUAUUGUAUGCUUUUAGCUUGAUGAUGGUUGAUUUUUACUUGAAUUACAUGAUGCAGACUUUUGUUCUGUCAGUAUUCAGAGGCACAGCCUUUUAUCCUGGGUUACAAGUCUCUUGAGAGUCCUUGUAAAAUGCUUUUUAAGAUAAUUACACUUCCUCUUCUGUUUCUUUGUACAGCAGCUGAAGGGGUAUUCUUAAUGCCAGUGCCACCUUCCCAGUCUAGCACAGCUGGGCACUCAGUUGCCAUUUAGCCUUUCAGGGAAUGUGCUGUGGAAUUUGUGUAUUUGUUACUUGACACCAGGAGGGAAAAGCAUUUCAAAUGCAUUUCCAGCAGGAGAGUGGGUAUGUUUUGACAUUGACUUUGUUCAUGUUAAUUUGGAGGCGUUUCAAGGGGACUUAACAACUAUAUUUGUUUUUGUUUGACUUGUUGCCUUGUGACUUGCUAUCCAUCAUUACCUUUAUGUUUUCCGGCUUAUUUUCUAUCAAAUCACUAAAUCAGUAGAAAAACAUUUUAUGAACUUGUUUCAAGGAAGAAGCUUUUGGGAAAGAUGAAGUAGCAUUUGCUGAAAAUUAAGUUUAGGCUGUGCAAAUGGAAGCAUGGGUGCUUGCUGCAAGUUUUAUCCUCCCAAGUUAGUGACUUGCUGGUCUCUUGGUGAUCCAAAUGAGACCAAAUGAGGGUGAUUAUCCUUUGAUCACUUGGUGCUCCUGUUCCUCUGCUGAAGAUGACCAGUGCAUUGGGUUCUCUGGCAAGUUAUGUUAGAUAAUCACUCCAUAACCCAGUUCUGUCAAAACUAAGGAAAUGAUUCUUCUUAAAUAUGAUGGCCAACACAGGGGGAAAAAAAAAAAAAGUGUCAGAAUUGGGUGAAUGUGAUUGUGCAAACAGAAAUGUUGGCAGCUGUUAACUUCUGGAGCUGGAACGUAGCGGGCUGUCAUAGCAGUUAGCCAGUGCUGAACUGCAGCUGGAAUGGCAGGCAUCCCCACAGCCUGAUGUUACUGUUCUCUGAACAACUUUAACAUUGCCUCAACUGUCGGUCUUUUGUUUAGCAAUAUAUUUGUUGUUACGCUUGAAAUAGGUUUGCUUGUUGUCAUGGCCUAUUGAAGCUAUCUCUGUGGGCACAAGGACACCUGCUUAUCACGAUUCAGCCACUAGUUAUACUCCUGUUUGUCAGGAUUUCCCAGAGCACGGGCUCUGUAAGGACUCAGCUCCAGGCCUUGAUGUUCACACUCCAAAUACAUACUGUUAGUAUUGGGUUCUCUCACUGAGUUCGGAGCUCGUAUUACCUCUCCCAGUCCUGUCAGGUCCAUAACUUAAUAUUUCUAUCUCUAGCCUUGCAAGCACAGAUCAGUCGUGGUUCGGUUUAGAUAUUACCUGUUCCAUUGCUUACAGGGUAUUAGAUGUAAUAUAAGGCAAAACAUUUCUUCCUAAAUCAUUUGAUUACGAGGAAUCCUUUCGGGUUUUUUUGGUGCACCAUUCCAGAAAAUAGUAUUGGGGAGGAAAAAGAGAGUCCAUUACCUGCACAGAGCAAUAUUUAAAUGUGGUGUGAAUCAGUGUACAAAAGAUAAAGGGAAUAUGGAGGGUUUGUUUUGGUUUGGUUUUUGAGAAAAAGCGGCUCUCCUGUCUGAGCUGUUACCCAGAAGAUGGAAACUGUCUCAGCUCCUGCUGAAAACCAGGUGGAAUGUUUAGAGCUUGAGGGUAAUCUGAAGGUGACAGAAGAAAACCUGUUUCUGAUUUAUUUUAUUUUAUUUUUUUUAGAACACGGUGCUGGAAGAAGCUAGUAGCUCAUGGGUCCCUUCAUAACUCUUUUCAGAACAAAGUGUCUUUUGGGAUGUCUGAAAACAGCAUUGAGUUUGAAGGAGACCAGACUGUCAGUGCAUUUUGGUCCUUCCUUCCUUAAGGAGUAAUAUUUGAACACGAUAUCAGCUCAAGACUUAAGAAGCAAUGUAGGUGGCUUGCGAGUCUCACCUUUGGGUGCAAUAGAAGAAGCAGAGGAGAGAGGAGCGUUUGUAGCUCUUGUGAACUUCUGUUCACUGAUGUCAGCUUAUAUAUCUUACUUUUUUAAAGAAGGGUAGCAAAUAGGAGAGGAGAGUCCAGAGAGAGCUGCAGUAAAUUCCCCUGCAGACAGAGGAGGGAGCAGGAGCUGUAGCACCAUACUGCUCCAGAAGCCCACAGCCAGGUUGUACAGAAGGCCUGGGAGUUAGGAUUGCUUUCUGAGCAACUUGCUCAGGCUGUUUUUCAUGCUCAUGUGGCUUUUUUUACAUCUGUUACUGUGCCAGUUUCUUUUGAGUGCAUAUAU
rnacentral:lncRNA from 1 species